GAUCACGGUGAUGACCACAUAAAAUUCAAGCUCAACAGACCGGAAUGCACGGUUCCUCUCUCUUUUGAGUGGCUACUUUGCGUGUCGAUAACCCCGCAUAACUGAGUGAUC
rfam:Cicer arietinum chromosome Ca4, whole genome shotgun sequence.